rnacentral:piRNA from 1 species
UAUCGAUUGAAUGCGGCCAAUUGGAGU